AUGAACCCUUCCUCGGCUCCCGGCCCGGAUGGCCUCCUAGUGAAGUUCUUCCAGACCUUCUGGGAGGUGAUCAAACCUGAGGUGAUGGCCCUAUUUGACGAGUUACUUGUUGGGUCCAUUGACCUCGCCCGACUGAACUAUGGGGUAGUCACUCUCAUCCCUAAAGUGACUGGAGCCUUGGACAUUCGACGAUUUCGACCGAUUACGGUGAUUAAUGUCAUCUUCCGCAUCCUCGCAAAGGGGUACGCCAUUAGGGUGGCCCCUAUUGCCGACCGGAUCACUCACCCUGAGCAGUCAGCCUUCAUCGAGGGCCGAUAUAUCCUUGAUGGAGUCUUGGUGUUCCACGAAGCUCUCCAUGAGGUGCACGCCAAACACCUCAAGGCAGUCUUCCUAAAACUGGAUUUCCACAAGGCCUAUGACACGGUCAGCUGGGCCUUCCUUCGGGAAUGUCUGCUCCGUAAGGGCUUCGAUGAUAGGUGGGUGACCAGGGUA
rnacentral:rRNA from 1 species